rnacentral:misc_RNA from 1 species
AAAGUCGUAACAAGGUUUCCGUAGGUGAACCUGCGGAAGGAUCAUUACCAAAAAGAUAAUGUAACACUUCCAUUGGUCUUUGGACCAAUGCCAUACACCAUUUGCAUAACUGUUGCCAGGUCUUUGGCGAGGUGAUUAGGGGUGAGGCAAACAUUAGAGUUUAAUCGGAGUUAUUAUUACUCCUUUUCAAUUUUUCUAUGUUCUGCUUGGUCCCGGGUUUCACUCGUGGAAAUAUUGGUUAUUUCCAACGAGUAACCUUGCCAGAGUUACCAAUGCCAAACUUUUAAUUCUUUAUGACUAGUCGUAUCAAUAUUUAUAAAAUAGUGUUUGGAAAAUAAAAAGCAACUUUUGACAACGGAUCUCUUGGUUCUC